rnacentral:lncRNA from 1 species
GGGCAAGUAUGGACACAACAUUCAAGCUGGAUUCAGCUCUAAAUUUGGAUUGUGAUUAAAUAGUUGACACAGCAUAGGUUUCUGACACAGAAUGAAUGUGUUCUAAUGAACUUAAAAUUUUGUUUUCUCUUAGAGCAAUUCACUAUGCUGUUGAAUAUUAAUCCUCUCAAAAAAAUGUUUGAAGAAAUUUUCUUUUUAUUUAU